rnacentral:rRNA from 1 species
ACGGGAGGCAGCAGUGGGGAAUUUUGGACAAUGGGCGAAAGCCUGAUCCAGCAAUGCCCGCGUGUGUGAAGAAGGCCUUCGGGUUGUAAAGCACUUUUGUCCGGAAAGAAAACCUCCGCCCUAAUAUGGUGGGGGGAUGACGGUACCGGAAGAAUAAGCACCGGCUAACUACGUGCCAGCAGCCGCGGUAAUACGUAGGGUGCAAGCGUUAAUCGGAAUUACUGGGCGUAAAGCGUGCGCAGGCGGUCCGCUAAGACAGAUGUGAAAUCCCCGGGCUUAACCUGGGAACUGCAUUUGUGACUGGCGGGCUAGAGUAUGGCAGAGGGGGGUAGAAUUCCACGUGUAGCAGUGAAAUGCGUAGAGAUGUGGAGGAAUACCGAUGGCGAAGGCAGCCCCCUGGGCCAAUACUGACGCUCAUGCACGAAAGCGUGGGGAGCAAACAGGAUUAGAUACCCUGGUAGUCCACGCCCUAAACGAUGUCAACUAGUUGUUGGGGAUUCAUUUCCUUAGUAACGUAGCUAACGCGUGAAGUUGACCGCCUGGGGAGUACGGUCGCAAGAUUAAAACUCAAAGGAAUUGACGGGGACCCGCACAAGCGGUGGAUGAUGUGGAUUAAUUCGAUGCAACGCGAAAAACCUUACCUACCCUUGACAUGUAUGGAACCCUGCUGAGAGGUGGGGGUGCCCGAAAGGGAGCCAUAA